rnacentral:rRNA from 1 species
GAUGAACGCUAGCGGGGGGCCUAACACAUGCAAGCCGAGCGGAAAGGCUUCGUCGGAACUGAGAGAGCGGCGGACGGGUGCGUAACACGUGCGCAACCUGCCUUUAUCUGGGGGAGAGCCAUUCGAAAGGAAGAGUAGUACUCAAUAAUAUAUUGAUCGUCAUCGUUGAAGAUGGAAAGCUCCGGCGGGUAGAGAUGGGCCCGCGCGAGGUUAGCUAGUUGGUGAGGUAAGGGCUCACCAAGUCGCGGAUCUAUAGGGGGCCUGAGGGGGUGCUCCCCCACACUGGUACUGCGCCCCUGACCACUCUCCUACGGCCGGCAGCCGUACGGGAGAUUGGUCAGUGGGUUCUAGCCUGACCCAGCCAUCCCGCGUGAAGGACGACUGCCCUCUGGGUUGUAACCUUCUUUUGGAUAGCGAUUAUCCUACCCUCGAGAGCGUAGCUGACGGUACUAUACGAAUAAGCACCGGCUAACUCCGUG